GACGAACGCUGGCGGCGUGCUUAACACAUGCAAGUCGAACGGAAAGGCCCUGCUUUUGUGGGGUGCUCGAUUGGCGAACGUGUGAGUAACACGUGAGUAACCUUCCCUUUACUUUGUGAUAACUUCAGGUAACUUGGGCUAAUACCGUAUAUGAUCUCCUGCUGCAUGGUGGUGGUUGGAUAUUUUCGGCGGUUGGGGAUGGACUCGCGGCUUUUCAGCUUGUUGGUGGGGUAGUGGCUUACCAAGGCUUUGACGGGUAGCCGGCCUGAGAGGGUGACCGGACAAAUUGGGACUGAGAUACGGACCAGACUGCAACGGGAGGCAGCAGGGGGGAAGAUUGAAGAAUGGGCGGAAGCCUGAUGAAGAAAAGCAGCGUGCGGGAUGAAGGCCUUCGGGUUGUAAACAGAUUUCGCAUGUGACGAAGAGAGAGUGACGGUAAUGGGUAAAGAAGCACCGGCUAACUACGUG
rnacentral:rRNA from 1 species